rnacentral:rRNA from 1 species
CCUACGGGUGGCAGCAGUGAGGAAUAUUGGUCAAUGGGCGAGAGCCUGAACCAGCCAAGUCGCGUGAGGGAGUACUGCCCUAUGGGUUGUAAACCUCUUUUGUCGGGGAGCAAAAGCCGGACGUGUCCGGCUGUGAGAGUACCCGAAGAAAAAGCAUCGGCUAACUCCGUGCCAGCAGCCGCGGUAAUACGGAGGAUGCGAGCGUUAUCCGGAUUUAUUGGGUUUAAAGGGUGCGCAGGCGGAUUUUUAAGUCAGCGGUAAAAAUUCGGGGCUCAACCCCGUCGUGCCGUUGAAACUGAUGUUCUUGAGUGGGCGAGAAGUAUGCGGAAUGCGUGGUGUAGCGGUGAAAUGCUUAGAUAUCACGAAGAACCCCGAUUGCGAAGGCAGCUUACUAAACUGUGACUGACAUUGAUGCUCGAAAGUGUGGGUAUCAAACAGGAUUAGAUACCCCUGUAGUC